UACGGAGGGUGCAAGCGUUAUCCGGAUUCACUGGGUUUAAAGGGCGCGUAGGUGGUCUGGUAAGUCAGUGGUGAAAUCUCCGGGCUUAACUCGGAAACUGCCGUUGAUACUAUCAGUCUUGAAUAUUGUGGAGGUAAGCGGAAUAUGUCAUGUAGCGGUGAAAUGCUUAGAUAUGACAUAGAACACCGAUAGCGAAGGCAGCUUGCUGCACAAUUAUUGACACUGAGGCUCGAAAGCGUGGGGAUCAAACAGG
rnacentral:rRNA from 1 species